AUCGUCAUUCAGACGUGCUUUGUGAUUCGGUUUGGUCAACGCCCGCCGUUUCCAGUGUUGUUUCCUGUGCUCAUUCCUGCCUUCGCUGUAUUCCCAGCUGAGCUCCCUUUCAUUCCAAAGAUCGUCUCCUGCCUUUCUUCACCACCGCUCUCGUGUCGCCCGCCCCCGCCCCCGUGCCCUCGCUGGAGCCGCUCAGCCCGGCCGUCCUCAACGCGCCCUCGCUGGAGCAGGUCGCCCCAGCCGUCCUCAACGCGACCUCGCCAUAGCAGCUCCUCUCUACGGACUGGCAAGUCCGGCUUCUGCCCAUCUUCUUCUUCUCUGUUCAGUUCACCAAAGAUGCGUAGAUCUGAUAGGUAAGCUAUGGAUAUGGGAGGAUACAUUUAAUAAGUACGUUGAAGUCAUGAACCGUCAGUUACACUGAUGGAGAAGUAAAGUAACUGCAAAUACAAAUAGCGUCUCUGGAGGCUGAACCGCUGAAGUAUUCUAGGGUCUCUCGGAUGGACAGAUGCAUUCAUCAAGAAGAUGUUGCCGCAAACCACAGGCAUACUAGAUUCUAUAAGUUUUUGUUACUUUUCCUAUGCUCAAUUUGGGUUGUGGAAGUGCUUGUUUCGGGCUGACGACUUGAUGUUAAUCUCAGCCUGUAAUUAAUUUGAUAGCAAUUACUCUUCAGUUUUGACAACCAAUUUAAUGCACUAAUAUAAUUCUUGAUACAAUCUUCAAUCCA